UCGAACCAAACUUUGAAUAACUUACAAGUAGCUUAGUUCAUUUACAGUCCUAUACUAACACUAUAGAGAGUCUCGUAGCCACAUUGUUCGACUAUUAUAUAAAAUUAUAGUAUAUAUAGCGAAAUAACAACAUUACACAUUAGUAAAGUUGAAUUCCAAAUAACCGAAUACCAAUAUGCAUAGAUAUAGAAUUAAGAAGAGUGACACACAUUGUUCGAUUAUAUAUAGUAAAAAAAUAAAAAUAAUAAAUUGAAAUUUAAUAGUAGAAAAUUAAUUUGAACAAAUACAUCUAUGCAAUUUAAGUUCUGAAAAAAUAAAAAAUAUUUUAUAAAAUAAUUUGAAGACAAUUUAAAAUAAAAAAUUAUAAAUAAAAAACACUUAAAAAAAUUAAAUCAAUCAAUCAAUCUUAUAUUAUAGUUAUAUUUAAUCAUGUAUUAUUCUAAUCCUUUGUCACCUUGCCGAAUAGUGACAUACACAACAUAUUGUUGAAUACUGCUGAAAUAAAAUUUUAUUGCCAAAAGAAGAAACGAAAAAGACCUUUGAGAGCACAGGCGCAAAUAAAGGAGGGAGCCGGGCCUCGUUAAAACCUUCUUAGGGAAAACCCGAGGGGGAGAAACCUUAAGAAGGAAAAAAGAGUACCCGUAGUAACAACGCGAAAAAAAAAAACAAGCAAACGAGGGCGGAGUUGAGGCUUCUUCUCGGAGGCUCCGCCCUAACCAUCGCCCCUAAGAAACCUCGGCUCAAAAAACGAACCAAGAAA
rnacentral:lncRNA from 1 species